rnacentral:rRNA from 1 species
GACAGAGGAUGCAAGCGUUAUCCGGAAUGAUUGGGCGUAAAGCGUCUGUAGGUGGCUUUUUAAGUCCGCCGUCAAAUCCCAGGGCUCAACCCUGGACAGGCGGUGGAAACUACCAAGCUGGAGUACGGUAGGGGCAGAGGGAAUUCCCGGUGGAGCGGUGAAAUGCGUAGAGAUUGGAAAGAACACCGAUGGCGAAGGCACUUUACUGGGCUAUUACUAACACUGAGAGACGAAAGCUAGGGUAGCAAAUGGG